rnacentral:misc_RNA from 1 species
CAACCCUCAAGUCCCCUGUGGACUUGGUGUUGGGGACCGGCGACACGCAGCUGUGUUUUUCUCACAGUUGGUUCGCCGCCCCCUAAAUGACUUGGCGGCCCCGUCUUAGGCUACCCCUCUGCGUAGUAGAACACACCUCGCAACAGGAAGCCCGGCGAAUGGCCACUGCCGUAAAACCCCCCAACUUCUUUCAGAG